UUUUCUCCAAAAUUGAUAAACUGAUGUUUGGUUAAAUUAGCUUCAUACAAAAAUUAGAGCUUGUUAUAUGGGUUGAACUAUAUGUGGGAUAUUUAAGUUGGCCAAGUUUAUUCAUAUUAAUCUAAUUAAACUUGAAUUUGAGAUUUUUUAUUUAAUAGAGUAUAACAAAACUGAAAAUCAUCAAACAAGUAAUAAAAUAAAAAUAUAGUGAGUGUUUAGGGUGUCCACGUCUACAAAGAAAAUCGGCCAAUAGAGAGCUUCCAAAUAGCCACAUCAUUCUUUUGUUACUCCAAACAGUUUUUUCUUCGGCCCAUUCACGUAGGAUCAUAAAUAUUAAUAAGACAUGCCCCAUUUUAACCGGCCAAGCCCUCUUUCCAAACACCUGCGCCUAAGUUUAACGAUGAGUUCUUAUGUUAUCUUGGCGUGUAGUUUUAAUUUACUAAUCUAUUGGGCUCUUAAAAUAUUUUGCAUACAGGCCCAUAGUUUAUAGGUUUUUUCCACUUCUGAUUUCGCGGAAAAGAGCCACCGUAACCUUUCAAAUGACACCGGCUUAGAAUUGUGACAGUUGCUGCAAUCAUUCACACACCACUCAUCCCACUGCCUCACAUUCAAUCGGUUUCAAUCUUCUUGAAGGUAGCGGACUAAAGCUCCACUUAUAUAUAAGUUUGAUGUCUGCGAUGAACAACAUCAUCUCUACCAAAUCUGAAAUGAUAAUCUUUGUUUUGCACGUAAUUCAUCAACGGCGACUUCACACCUUCUUCUUACUGAUUUGGAAGUUGGACGUUGACUGAUAAGGAAAGAAGGAACGACGAGGAUGGCUUCCUCAAUGGGUUGUCUCACCGACUCGCUCCCUCAACUCAACACUUCCUUUCUUCUACUCUUCAACUCAAGCCCGAGUUAUAGAUAAGGAUGAGAAUUAAGAGAAGCACAUGCCAAGACCAAAUCGCUAAGGUUAUCUCUCUUUGAAAAACCCUUGCAGCAACGUCUCAUUCAUUAGCUUUCUUAAGGUUCACACAACAACGUAACGGAGAGCCGGUGCUACAAGAACUGCUUGACAGAUUGUGCGAGAGCUGUUCUUGCUGGUGGUGCAGCUGCAAAAUCUGAAGCACUGAUGGAAGAAGUAUUAGCAACUGGUCUUCUCGAAGACAAUCCCUUGGCAGAGCUGAUAUUAACAAACAAGCUACACUAUCCUUAAGCAUCCCUUUGCUUAAUUAACAGAGCUCCACUUUUAUAUUGGGAAAGCGUUAUUGGUGAGCUAAGUGCAAUCAAAAGCACGUUCAACAACACGUCCAACAACACAUGGUAUAAUGGUAACUCGACGUAUAGAAAGAAAACUGGAGAGCUACGGGUCAGAUCACAAAGUUUCACUAGCUACCAGCAUAAAUCCCAAAAUAGUUGGAGGUUCAUCAGAAGAUUGAUAAGACUAAGAAAAGAGGUUAUGCAGAAUCUUGGACUGUAAGAAACUAUCAGUAGACGCAAUCAAGAACGCUGCACAGAGCCAACUGCUUCCACUGAGAGUGAUAGUGCAAAUCCUCUUCGAUGGAGCAAGCACGAGCUGCGAUAUCUACAACAACAAACACUAUUACUAAGAAUGAAACAUAAGUUUUGAGAAGAAGCUUUACAACAGGAUGUAGAAAGAGUUGAAAUUAAACCUAACGAAGGACUUCAGACCAGCAUUCCUUUUGGGGUUUAUGGCGUUUUGUACGAUGCCAAAGCAAUCUAAGACGAUAUUUUGCAAGUUGUUGAUCAGUAGGAGUUUAAGCCAAUGGAUUUGAAAAUAAAGAUAAUGGGAGAUUUUUGUCGCUCAAGUCAAGCGUUUUUAUUGUCUCUUUUUAUUUGAUUUGAUUCUGGAAAAUUCAUUUCUCAUACCACAUUGUAAAAGCGAAUAAUAAAGAAAAUAUGUGCAUCAGUUU